rfam:Oryza glumipatula chromosome 8, whole genome shotgun sequence.
AAAAAAAAAAACCCCUAAUUUCCGUGCCUAAUAUUUGACUGUCCGUUUUAUUUUAAAAAAAUAUGAAAAAAAUUAAAAAGACAAGUCACGCAUAAAAUAUUAAUCAUGUUUUAUUAUCUAACAACAAUGAAAAUACGAAUUAUAAAAAAAUUCAUAUAAGACAGACAGUUAAAAUUGGAUACGGAAAUCUAGGGUUUGUCUUAUU